UUGACCGUUGGCUAAUUAAAGCUAUUAGCCAAUAGGGAAUAGCCUUUCUUUUCUGGUUUGGUUUGGUUUCCUUUCCAGUGUGGCGGCCGUUGCAACCGACUCCUCACUCCACAUAAAAUGCUCCCUCUUAGUCUUUCUCCCUCUAGGUUCAAACCAACAAGCCGCCACGAGAGCAAAGACUCGUUCUCUCUAUAUCCUCGAGCAUCUCGUUGGAGCCAAACGACUCGAAGCUUUCGAUUUCGCUUUCUCUUUCUGGUUUUCUUAAGAAAUCGUUUUCUGUUGUCUUGUUUAGCUGCUAAUUUCGUUUCAAUUGAUGAUAGUUAUUUUGGUUGUCAGUACAAGAAGCUGUGAAACCAGAGAAUUAGGGUUUGAAUUUGAAUUUUGAAUUGAUCAAAGUUGUAUUAUGGUCGAACCGAGUGCGGGGUCUGAAGUAGGCGUCCUUUCCGGAGUGAAUUUAUGAGAAGUCGGUUAGGUUAUUCUUUCGUCAGUACAAGAACAGCGAAACCUUAGAACGAGGGCUGGAUAUAAUGGGAGAACCGUGUACAGACAGUCAAAGAUCGUCGUCUGAAGUUGGAGUUCCUUCGGGGUUGAAUCGGAUCAAAACUCGGCAAGUUUCUUUGCUAGAGCAACCUAGUUUGAAGCCAGACGAGCUGAGCGAGUCCAGGAGUCGAGGAAUUCCAAGGCCUCCCUUGAAGCAGAAGGAGAAAGGACAUGGAAAAAUGAGUUGCUCUUCCAAAGAAGAAUUUCAUAGAGGAAAGAAGAUAGCUCGAUGGUUCACAUCAUAUUUUUCAAAGGAUUUGAAUCAGCCUCUGGAUGACGUUCCUCCAAAUGUUGAGGACAGGAGCUCAGAAGUUGUGAUGCUUGGCAGAAAGAAAUUAGUUGAAAGCCAAUCUCUGGCACAGCAUGUAUCCCAUUGUAGAGGGACAAAAGGUUUAAAAAGCUUCUCCCAUGAAUUAGGGCCAAAGGGUGGCAUUCCACGUUCAAAUCCUCGGGCAUACAGCUACAAUGAUUUGAAGGCGCUAUUGUGCUCAUUGCGUUCAAGGUUUGAUGCUGCUAAGGAGCUGGUGAACUUGGAGCUGGCAAGUUUUGUGGUUGAGGUUGUAGCUAUUUUUGAAAAUACUGAUUCCUCAUCCUUGCAAGAGCAAGAAAUAGCAGAGGACAUUCUGAUUCUGGCUCAACAGUGUGUGGAAAUGACCCCUUCUCAGUUUCGUGUGAAAUGUCAAACAAUUGUCCAAGAAUUGACUGAGAGAAGGCAACAGUGCCAACUAGUAAUGCUGAAGGGGCUCUUCAUUCGCAUGCUUUUCAUAUUGACUCGAUGCACCAGACUAUUGCAGUUUGAGAAAGACAGUGAAACAAUGGAUGAAGAAUCUCUUCAUAAAUUCAAGAAAUGUUUAGAGAGUAUUCCUGCUGUUGAAAGCUGGGCACCUAAGAUUGUAAGUUCUGGUUCAGAUUAUGCACUGCAUCAGAAGGAUGAUGCAAAGAGCAAAAUGCAUGGGGCAUCUUCUCUUUCUGAGGUGAUGUGGAGCAGCUCUGCAGAGACAGCUGAUAUGAGUGAUACAACCUCUAGAAAGGAUUCCCUGCUUUUUGAUCAAACACUGUUGUCUCCAAAAUCCCAAAUUGGUUCAUGUUCACAAGCACAACAGUUUUAUCGAGUUGAUGGCGAUUUAAUUGUAAAUGUAGACGGUUCAAUUCGUGAGGAGCAAAAUAUAGAUGGAGGUACUUCUGUAAUCUGUAGGAUUUGUGAGGAAGUUGUUCCCAUUACUCAUCUGGAACCACAUUCAUAUAUUUGUGCUUAUGCAGAGAACUGUGAUUCAAAUUCUCAAGAUGUAGAUGAGCGCCUUUCAAAACUGUCGGAGAUAUUGGAACAGAUUAUAGAGUCGCGUAACAUGAAUUAUCAUCCAUCAUGUGACAGCCCUGAAAACUUAAGAAUGCAAACUACAAGCUCAUCAAUCAUAUCUGAAGGUUGUUCUCCCAAGAUUAAUGAAUGGCGAAACAAAGGUGUUGAAGGAAUGUUUGAAUCCAUACAUGAGAUGGACACUGCCUGCAUUGAUGAUUCUCCUUUACCUUCUGUUUACUGGAAGGGCAACCUUGGGUCAAAGUUUGGCAGCUAUGGUGCAUCCUCCUCUACUGGGAGCAUGACAUCAAUUUCCUCUACAACAAAUACCCCUAGAGCUAGUCAUUUUGAUUCCUUCUGGUUAGAGCAUAACAAUCAUUCGGAGCUAGAGGAUGUGCAGCAGAUGAUUGACCUUGCAGACAUAGCCCAUUGUGUGGCCGGAACAGAUGUCUCAGGAGAAGGAUCCCAUGAAUUCUUGCUUGCUUGCAUGCAGGACUUACAGGAGAUUUUACGGCAUAGUAAACCUAAAGCUCUGGUGGUAGACACUUUUGGAGGCCGUAUCGAGAAACUCCUGAGAGAAAAGUAUAUUCUUGCUUGUGAAAUGCUUGAUGUGGAAAGUCCAUCAACUGACAGCAAAAAUACGGAAAUGCCUAAACUUUUACUGGAUAGUGCAUCUCAAAGUAGUGUUGUUUCUUCAACCCCCUUACAUCCGUCAUACAAGGAGCGGACAACCAUUGAUGACUUCGAGAUUAUCAAACCAAUCAGCAGAGGGGCCUUUGGAAAAGUCUUUCUUGCACGCAAAAGGACUACAGGAGAUUUGUUUGCAAUAAAGGUGCUCAAGAAGUUGGAUAUGAUACGGAAGAAUGAUAUUGAGCGUAUUUUAGCAGAACGGAACAUACUAAUAACAGUUCGGAACCCAUUUGUGGUCCGAUUUUUUUAUUCAUUCUCCUGCAGGGAUAAUCUUUACUUGGUGAUGGAGUAUCUUAAUGGAGGUGAUCUAUAUUCUUUGCUUAGGAAAGUUGGCUGCCUUGAGGAAGACGUGGCUCGUAUAUAUAUCACAGAAUUGGUUCUUGCUUUAGAAUACCUGCAUUCUCUUGGAAUCGUGCAUCGUGAUCUGAAACCAGAUAACAUACUAAUUGCACAUGACGGGCAUAUCAAGCUUACAGACUUUGGGCUAUCGAAAAUUGGCCUCAUAAACAGCACCAUUGACUUAUCGGGAUCUCAAACAAAUGAAACAAUGCCUUCAGAAGUCCUUGAUUCACAAAAACAACUGGUGCAAGAUACAAGGUGCCACUCGCCUGUGGGGACACCAGACUACCUGGCACCUGAAAUUCUUCUUGGAACUGAACAUGGUUACGCUGCCGACUGGUGGUCAGUGGGAAUAAUUUUAUUUGAAUUUAUAACUGGGAUUCCACCUUUCACUGGUAAAAGUCCAGAGAUAAUUUUCGAUAACAUUCUUAACAGAAAGAUCCCCUGGCCUGAUAUAUCCUGUGAAGCCCAAGACUUGAUCGACAGGUUCUUAAUUCAUGAUCCAAAUGAGCGUUUGGGAGCAACUGGAACGGCAGAGGUCAAAGCACAUCCAUUUUUCAGAGGAAUUAACUGGGACAACCUUGCAUUGCAAAAGGCCGCCUUCGUGCCGCACCCUGACAGUGCUGAUGACACAAACUACUUUGUCUCAAGGUUUACUCCAAGUUUUAGUGGAUUGCAAGAUAGCCAGAGUGGUGGAGACUCUGAUGCUGACACCUGUCGCUCAUAUUCAAACUCUGGGGUUGAGGUGGAUGAAUGUGGGGAUCUUGCAAGGUUUGAUUCUUCUCCUCUUGAUCUCUCAUUGAUGAGAUUUUCGUUCAAGAAUUUGUCACAGUUGGCAUCCAUUAAUCAUGAUCUGAUCUUACAAAGUGGGAAAGAUCCGGCAAAGAGCUCAUCUGCUGAAGAAUCAUAGUUCUUGUUUGAUAUAGUUUUUUCAGUUUCAACAAAGGACUAGCUGUUGCAAGACCAGUCUCUGUAAAAGAUUUGGAACUAUGAACUGGAUUCAACGCAAGAUCUAUCUCUACAAUGUCACUUUUGGACUCUACAUGCUGGAUUGGUGGGAGCGUUGCCUCUUUACUGUCCCAGAUACUUUGGUGAUUGUGUUGAUGUGGUUCAUCUUUUACAAUAGCUCGCGACAUGUAACUGAUUUCUGCAAAAGGCAUCUGUGGUGAAGCUCAGAAGUAACUCUGGCGUGGAUGAUCACUGUGGGAAAGGUUGUCAUAUAUAUAGUACUGCUAGAUAUCUCACUCUAUUUCAGAUAAGACUUUGACAUCCCCCGGUUUUGUAGAAUCGAUAGUGCAUUCUUGUGUGUAUUGUACUAAUUUAUUGUGAGCAUUUCAUACCAUUCACUCUCGAUUUAGUGAUUACCACCUAUUGUUCUGAGCCUUAAUAGCCAGGUUAAGACUGCUGUAGGACUUGGUAUAUAGUUGAGUUGCACAAUUAACAGACACUGACUUCAUCAAGUGUAGUAAUUUGGAUAAUUUGUUACUCUUCUUCUUUGGUUUUA